rnacentral:misc_RNA from 1 species
UAACCCACGUCUUUUAUAUUGUCAAAAAAAUUUGUUGUUUCACUGCAAAAUGAAGACAAAACUUGGGAAGAUGAAACUUAUUGAACAAUAAUACAUGCUUAAUGUGAUCUUAAACAUCAACUAUAUAGGAUAGUUCGUCACAUUUUUUUACCAUCCUAUUAUUCAUGCCCAUAUGAAGAAGAAGAAGCUGAAGCUGAAGCUGAUAGCAGCUUUCACCAAAAAAAAAAAGCAAAAUGCCAGGAAAUAUUUCCAAGACCCAGCGGACGAAAUUUCUUUCAGUUGGUAAGGAUGUAUAAAUGAAGAUCAAUGUAUUAAGCAGCUCCAUGCUCUUCAAUCAAAUUCUAGCACGAAAUUUAGGAUAGGAUAUUGAUCGAAAAAUGUACAUUUCUUACACAACAGACUUGCUAUCUCCAGCUUG